UACAGAGGAGCCAAGCGUUGUCCGGAUUGACUGGGCGUAAAGCGCACGCAGGCGGACGCGCGCGUGGGGUGUGAAAUCUGGCCGCUUAACGGCCAGGCGCCAUCCCAUACGGCGCGUCUGGAGCAAUGCAGAGGUCGGUGGAAUUGCCGGUGUAGUGGUGAAAUGCGUAGAGAUCGGCAGGAACACCCAGGGGGAAACCAGCCGACUGGGCAUUUUCUGACGCUGAGGUGCGAGAGCGUGGGGAGCGAACCGG
rnacentral:rRNA from 1 species